UACGGGGGGGGCAAGCGGUGUUCGGAAUUACUGGGCGUAAAGGGCUCGUAGGCGGCCAACUAAGUCAUACGUGAAAUCCCUCAGCUUAACUGGGGAACUGCGUGUGAUACUGGAUGGCUUGGAUUUGGGAGAGGGAUGCGGAAUUCCAGGUGUAGCGGUGAAAUGCGUAGAUAUCUGGAGGAACACCGGUGGCGAAGGCGGCAUCCUGGACCAAUAUUGACGCUGAGGAGCGAAAGCUAGGGGAGCAAACGGG
rnacentral:rRNA from 1 species